UACGUAGGCAGCGAGCGUUGUUCGGAGUUACUGGGCGUAAAGGGCGCGUAGGCGGUCGUGACAAGUCACUUGUGAAAUCUCCGGGCUUAACUCGGAACGGUCAAGUGAUACUGUCGGACUAGAGUACAGAAGGGGCAACUGGAAUUCUCGGUGGAGCGGUGAAAUGCGUAGAUAUCGAGAGGAACACCUGCGGCGAAGGCGGGUUGCUGGGCUGAUACUGACGCUGAGGCGCGAAAGCCAGGGGAGCGAACGGG
rnacentral:rRNA from 1 species